UACGGAGGAGGCAAGCGUUAUCCGGAAUUACUGGGCGUAAAGCGUGCGCAGGCGGUUAUAUAAGACAGUUGUGAAAUCCCCGGGCUCAACCUGGGAACUGCAUCUGUGACUGUAUAGCUAGAGUACGGUAGAGGGGGAUGGAAUUCCGCGUGUAGCAGUGAAAUGCGUAGAUAUGCGGAGGAACACCGAUGGCGAAGGCAAUCCCCUGGACCUGUACUGACGCUCAUGCACGAAAGCGUGGGGAGCAAACAGG
rnacentral:rRNA from 1 species